AUGAACGCUAGCUAUAGGCUUAACACAUGCAAGUCGAGGGGCAGCAUGUUGGUUGCUUGCAACCAAUGAUGGCGACCGGCGCACGGGUGAGUAACGCGUAUCCAACCUACCCAAUACUCAGGCAUAACCCGUUGAAAGACGGACUAAUUCCUGAUGGUAUGUAUUUUUCUCAUGAUUUAUACAUUAAAGAACUUCGGUAUUGGAUGGGGAUGCGUCUGAUUAGUUUGUUGGUGAGGUAACGGCUCACCAAGACAUCGAUCAGUAGGGG
rnacentral:rRNA from 1 species